AUGGCCACGCAGCCGGGAUGGCGCCCCCUCCCCCUGGUGACCUUGCCCCGGCUGGUAGCUGGACUACCACCAGAUCUACCUAACAUCGUAGCCCCUCCUUCUCUCCGACAGCAAGUGGUGGCCGGAUUGGAGCCUAGUCCGCCAAGGUGGCCUGCCCUGCAGCUCGUGGAUCUGGAGUUCGAGCACGAGCUGAAGCAGGAGAGCAUGCACAACAACACACAGAUCAUGAACCACUUGAUGGAUACAACGAGUGUCACUUUCCACCGGAGGUACCCUCUCUUCGACUCAUCGUUAGAGGAUUGUACAGCCUAUGUAUUCCACGGAAUGAUAUACACUGAUCUGAACCAGAACCCACUUAUUGUGCCGUUGGAGAUUCUUCAUGGCCAUCUAAGUUCAGAUAGAAGAGGGGUUUUGGAUUAA
rnacentral:rRNA from 1 species